UGGGGAAUUUUCCGCAAUGGGCGCAAGCCUGACGGAGCAAUACCGCGUGAGGGAGGAAGGCUUUUGGGUUGUAAACCUCUUUUCUCAGGGAAGAAGCUCUGACGGUACCUGAGGAAUCAGCAUCGGCUAACUCCGUGCCAGCAGCCGCGGUAAUACGAAGGGGGCUAGCGUUGUUCGGAAUUACUGGGCGUAAAGCGCGCGUAGGCGGAUUGAUCAGUCAGGGGUGAAAUCCCGGGGCUCAACCCCGGAACUGCCUUUGAUACUGUCAAUCUCGAGGUCGAGAGAGGUGAGUGGAAUUCCGAGUGUAGAGGUGAAAUUCGUAGAUAUUCGGAGGAACACCAGUGGCGAAGGCGGCUCACUGGCUCGAACCUGACGCUGAGGUGCGAAAGCGUGGGGAGCAAACAGGAUUAGAUACCCGCGUAGUCC
rnacentral:rRNA from 1 species